rnacentral:rRNA from 1 species
GUGGGGAAUCUUGCGCAAUGGGCGAAAGCCUGACGCAGCCAUGCCGCGUGAAUGAUGAAGGUCUUAGGUUUGUAAAAUUCUUUCACCGGGGACGAUAAUGACGGUACCCGGAGAAGAAGCUCCGGCUAACUUCGUGCCAGCAGCCGCGGUAAUACGAAGGGGGCUAGCGUUGCUCGGAAUUACUGGGCGUAAAGGGCGCGUAGGCGGACAGCUUAGUCAGAGGUGAAAGCCCAGGGCUCAACCUUGGAAUUGCCUUUGAUACUGGCUGUCUGGAGUUUGGGAGAGGUGAGUGGAACUCCGAGUGUAGAGGUGAAAUUCGUAGAUAUUCGGAAGAACACCAGUGGCGAAGGCGACUCACUGGCCCAAUACUGACGCUGAGGCGCGAAAGCGUGGGGAGCAAACAGGAUUAGAAACCCCAGUAGUCC